AUUGAACGCUGGCGGCAGGCCUAACACAUGCAAGUCGAGCGGAACGGCGGACGGGUGAGUAAUGCCUAGGAAUCAGCCUGGUAGUGGGGGAUAACGUCCGGCAACGGGCGCUAAUACCGCAUACUAUCAGAUGAGCCUAGGUCGGAUUAGCUAGUUGGUGGGGUAAAGGCCUACCAAGGCGACGAUCCGUAACUGGUCUGAGAGGAUGAUCAGUCACACUGGAACUGAGACACGGUCCAGACUCCUACGGGAGGCAGCAGUGGGGAAUAUUGCACAAUGGGCGAAAGCCUGAUGCAGCCAUGCCGCGUGUAUGAAGAAGGCCUUCGGGUUGUAAAGUACUUUCAGCGGGGAGGCGUUACCCGCAGAAGAAGCACCGGCUAACUCCGUGCCAGCCGCCGCGGUAAUAC
rnacentral:rRNA from 1 species